UGGGGAAUAUUGCGCAAUGGGGGGAACCCUGACGCAGCCAUGCCGCGUGAAUGAAGAAGGCCUUAGGGUUGUAAAGUUCUUUCGGUAUUGAGGAAGGUUGAUGUGUUAAUAGCACAUCAAAUUGACGUUAAAUACAGAAGAAGCACCGGCUAACUCCGUGCCAGCAGCCGCGGUAAUACGGAGGGUGCGAGCGUUAAUCGGAAUAACUGGGCGUAAAGGGCACGCAGGCGGUUAUUUAAGUGAGGUGUGAAAGCCCCGGGCUUAACCUGGGAAUUGCAUUUCAGACUGGGUAACUAGAGUACUUUAGGGAGGGGUAGAAUUCCACGUGUAGCGGUGAAAUGCGUAGAGAUGUGGAGGAAUACCGAAGGCGAAGGCAGCCCCUUGGGAAUGUACUGACGCUCAUGUGCGAAAGCGUGGGGAGCAAACAGGAUUAGAUACCCUGGUAGUCCACGCUGUAAACGCUGUCGAUUUGGGGGUUGGGGUUUAACUCUGGCGCCCGUAGCUAACGUGAUAAAUCGACCGCCUGGGAAGUACGGCCGCAAGGUUA
rnacentral:rRNA from 1 species